AUGACGGCAAGGGGAGAGACCGGCAGAGGGAAACCUAAAAGCGGCGCCGAAGGAGCAAGCUGGGGAAACAGUGAAUCUCUCAGGCAAAAGAACUCUUGCUUGACG
rnacentral:ncRNA from 2 species